rnacentral:rRNA from 1 species
CCCUUAGAUGGUCUGGGCGGCACGCGCGCUACAAUGAUGCAUUGAAAAAGUCUUCUGACCUUAGAAGGUUGGGUAUUCUCCAAAGUGCAUCGUGAUGGGAAUAGUUUAUUGCAAUUUUUAAUCUUGAACGAGGAAUUCCUAUUAAGUACAGGUCAUCAACUUGUGUUGAUUACGUCCCUGCCCUUUGUACACACCGCCCGUCGCUCCUACCGAUUGGGUGUGCUGGUGAAAUGUUCGGAUCGGCCGUUUGUCGCGGUUUCCGCGUCAUGUGGCUGAGAAGUUCAUUAAACCCUCCCACCUAGAGGAAGGAGAAGUCGUAACA